rnacentral:lncRNA from 1 species
AAAGAACCUACACCUAUUCGGCAACUAAACAAUCGGUACCCCUCUACAAACUAAAAAUGCUAAUUUACUACACCAAACUCUUCUAGCCGAAUAUGCAACUCCAAAGUCCUACUUUCGGUACACCACUCCCUCUAAUUCAAAUCCCUUGAAUUUAGCCCGUAGCAAAGUUUGAAUUUCACUCAAACUCCUUCCACCGAUUAACAGCAUCCUUAUCCAC